AUUGAACGCUGGCGGCAGGCCUAACACCUGCAAGUCGAGCGAGCGGCGGACGGGUGAGUAAUGUCUGGGAAACUGCCUGAUGGAGGGGGAUAACUACUGGAAACGGUAGCUAAUAACGCAUACCAUCAGAUGUUCCCAGAUGGGAUUGGCUAGUCGGUGGGGUAACGGCUCACCUAGGCGCAGAUCCCUAGCUGGUCUGAGAGGAUGACCAGCGACACUGGAACAGAGACACGGUCCAGUAGCCUGCGGGAGUAUGCAGUGGGGACUAUUGCACAAUUGGCUCAUGCCGGAUGCAGCCAUGCCGCGGGUGCGAAGAAGGCUUUCGGGUUGUAAAGCACUUUCAGCGGGGAGGCGUUACCCGCAGAAGAAGCACCGGCUACCUCCGUGGCAGCAGCCGCGGUAAUUC
rnacentral:rRNA from 1 species